ACAAUGUCGCCUGGAGCAUUGUGGUUAUACCUCACAACUGCAACUGUUCUAACGGGAAGGUUGAUAAACUUGAGGAUCUCUCUGUUCCAGAUUAGCAGCGGCAAUUGCAGUUACCCAAACAGUUCCAUCCAUACAGAAGCAGCGACACAUUCUCUCCAAAUGAAAAUACACGUGUGGAGUCAAAGUUUUCCAACACCAGCACUGUUUGGGAUGAGUUAGCAAAUGACCGCGACUGAAAGGCUGAGAGGACCUUGUCGAGGAGAUUCUGUCUCACAGACGCCGGCUUCGGUCGCAGUGAUUGAGGAGGACAGUAUCCAGUUCUUCUGUAAUUAUACUACAACAAGAAACACUCGGGGCCUUUACUGGUACCGUCAAUAUUCCAGUGGUCCCAUAGAGCUGCUGCUGUGGAGAAGCAAAUUUAGCGGGAACACAGAGAAGUUUCACAGAGACUGGCUAUCCCCAGAGCUCGAUCAUAUGAACCACACCAUCAACAUGAAAGUGGUCAAAAUAGAACUGGCAGACUCUGUAGUGUACUACUGCGCACUGAGACCCAUGGAGUCUCAGAAUUGGGUUGACCCUGUGCAAAAACAUGACAUUGUGUGUGCAAUGCAAUCGAUGAGAUCAAGAGUGGAUCUGAAAGGGUUCCCGAAAUCACGGUGA